CUUGUGGGAGCCUAGUCCAGGUGAGCUGCUCCCCUGUGCCCGUGACUGAAUCAUCUCAUUGAAAUGCAAAGAUGGGCUGACUACUUGGUGCUAGGCAAGGAAACAAAAAGGCAUCUUUUAAGUCUAGGCAAGUAAACCAAGCAGCAUUUGCAGGAAUGAGUCCCAUUAAAAUAUACAGGUUUGGUACUACUGGGUGGAUGGUCACUGUAGCCUGGUUUACAGCAUGCAAGUUCUGCACCAGUCUGUAUUCAUUAGUCCCUGGUUUCCGCACUGGCAAAAGCAGAGUGUUCCAUGGUGACCAGCAUUGGGCCAAGACCCUGUGUUCCAAUAGCCGCUUCAAAUGCCCUUGAAUGCCCUGUACGGCUUCUUGGGAAAGUGGGUAUUGACAAACCCGAACCGGAAUUUCCCCCGGUUUUAGUUCUACUGUCACUGGUGCCUGGUUCCAGCCAGUCCAGGGGGCUUAUCUUCAGCCCACUCCAGGAAUUUUACUAGGCAACCCAUACAGCUCAUCUAGCUCUGGCUUUAGCAAUCCUUUUGCGCACAGUCUCCAUUCCUCUGCCUGUGGGACGGUAAGGGUUAACACCAUUGCUUCUGGGUGGGGCAGGCUUAAAGUCAUAUUCCCCUGCUGCCUGAAAGCAAUCUGGGCUUGCAGUUUUCGAGUAAGCCUCUUCCUAUCAGGGGAACUGGGCAAUUCGGGAGGUAUAGGAAUUCAUGCUGGACCUCUAGUCCCCUUAUGACAUAUCUCUGGGGCCAGAAGAAUGGCCUUUUCUCUGGGACCCCUGUAGCCCCAACGAUAGUCAUAAUUUUUGGAUAGUGGCCCCACAGGCCAUGUCACUGCCGAGUGUUCAGCCCCAGUGGCUACCAUAAAGUCCAUCAGUUGGCCCCCUACUUUCACCAUGACCAUGGGCUCCUGGCAGCCUAAGGAGAUGGAGCCCGGUCUUGCCUAAUCUUCAUACCCUUCAGUUCCUGCCAGCCGGAUAAGGUCAUCAGACCUCCAUUCCAGAGAAGGUUCUGUCUUAUCCCAGGAGGAAGGAUUGCUGCACAGAGAGGCCAUGAAGAAUCUAAACAGACCAGCCUUGCCAGGUUUUUCUACUCAGUCUAUUAGAAAUACAUCAUAAACCUUUUGUCCAAACAUAUGUCUACAUGGCAUCUAUACUUUGCUGUUUAUAAGUAUAAAACUGGACAGUUUCCCUUGUAUCUUUGGAUCUUCAUUCAGAAAGUUCCUGUGUCAUGCAAAAUUGAUCAAAUAAAUUUGUAUGCUGUUCCUCCUAUUAAUCUGUCUUUUUUUGGUUGUUUUUUAGUGAACCUUCAGAGGGUGAAGGGGCAGUAUUCCCUUAGUCCUUACAGUACAAAUUAAUGGUUUUUUAAUAUAUUCACAUUUAUGUUUCACCAUCACCACAAUCAAUUUCAAAGCAUUUUCCUCACAGCAAAACAAAAACAAGUACUACUUAUCAAUUACCCUCACCUUCCCUCACCUUAGAGAAACACUAAUCUGCUUUCUGUUUUUAUAGAUUUCCCAGCACUUGACAUUUUCUACAAAUGGAAUCACAUAAUGGGCAGGCUUCUGUGAAUGGCUUCUUUCACUUAGAAGAAUGUUCAUCCAUGUUGUAGCAUGUAUCAGUGUUUUAUUCCUAAGACAAAAUAAUAUCCUAUUUUAUAAAUAUACCACAUUUUUUAUACACUUGCUAAUUGAACUUUUGGCUUGUUGCUAUCAUUGGCUGUUUCUACCAUUAUGAAUAAUGCAGUUAUAAACAAUUUUCUAAAUGUUUUGGUAUGGUCAUAUGUUUUCAUUUUAUCUUCCUCAGAAUGUAAUCAAUGGGUCCUCUGUUAUUUCUGUGUUGAAUCAUUUGAGGAACUGCCAGACUCUUACACAAAGUAUUUGCAUCAUUUUUACAUUUCCACAAGGAGUGUAUGAGGGUUCCAAAUUCUCCACGACCAAGGGAAAACUUUUUUUAUUUGACUUUUGAUUCUAGCCACCUUAGUGAGUGUGAAGGAAUAUUUCAUUGUAGUUUUCAUUGCAUUUUGCUGAUGAAUAAUGAUGUAAUAAUGGCUCAUUGGACAUUUUUAUAUCUUCUUUGAAGAAAUGUCCAUUUAAUUUAUUUGUCUUUUUAUUAUUGAGAUGUGUCAUUCACAUAUUCUGUAUAUAUGUAUUUUAUUUUAGUUAUUCUGGGUCAUUUUUGUUUCCAUACAUGUCUUAUGUCAC
rnacentral:lncRNA from 10 species